UGCGUAGGCGGGCUAUUAAGUCAGUGGUGAAAUCCCUCGGCUCAACCGGGAAACUGCCAUUGAUACUGUUAGUCUUGAGUUCGGUUGAGGUAGGCGGAAUGUGUAAUGUAGCGGUGAAAUGCUUAGAUAUUACACAGAACACCAAUUGCGUAGGCAGCUUACUAGACCGACACUGACGCUGAGGCACGAAAGCGUGGGGAGCGAACAGGAUUAGAUACCCUGGUAGUCC
rnacentral:rRNA from 1 species